rnacentral:lncRNA from 1 species
GAAAAAACCCCAUGUGCACCCUAAAACAAGGAAUUCCCUCUCCCUGGGGCCACAGAAUAUCGGAUGGAGCAAACACUGAGGUGGCCCAAGGUUUCUGCUGGAAAAAAAACCACAUGUGGAGCCUGGAGCACCCAAAAAUGAGGAAUUCCUUCUCCCUGGGGGAGCAGAGUGUUGGAUGGAGCAGGCACUGAGGUGGGCCAAGGUUUCUGCUGGAUAAAACCCCACGUGCACCCUAAAAAUGAAGAAUUCCCUCUCCCCAUGGCAUUGGAAUGUCAUGUGGAGUGAGCACCAAGGUGGGACGAGGUUUCUGCUGGAAAAAACACCAAAUGCAGGGCCAGAGGCACACUAAAAGGAGGAACUCCCUUUCCCUGGGGGAGCAGGCAUUGAGCUGGGCCGAGUUUGCUGUCGGAAAAACCCCAAGUGCACCCAAAAUUGAGGAAUUCCCUCUCCCUGGGGCAGCAGAAUGUCGGCGGAGGUGGUGGCACCAGCCGAAGGACACACGGGCAGGGCUGGGGGGCACAGUGUGUUUAUUGGGGGGUCGGUGGGCACGGACACCCCGCUGGCACGCUGGGUCCUGCCUGGCAGCGGGGCCGUGGGCACGGGGAGCUGCUGGGCAUGCACGGAGAGGGACAGGGGCUGCUGGCCUGGAGCAUUCCUCUGUCCACUGCUUCAUCCACCUCGGAGCAUCCUGGAGCAUCCCAUCAUCAUCCUCGGAGCAUCCUGGAGCUUCCCAUUGUCAUCCUCAGCAUCCCAUCUGCAACCUCAGAGCAUCCUGGGGCAUCCCAUCAUCACCCUCAGCAUUCCAUCAUCAUCCUCAUCAUCCCAUCUUCAUCCACCUCAGAUCCAUCCUCCCCAGGCCAUCCCACCACAUUCACCUUGGCCAUCCCACCCACUUUGGAGCAUCCCAAAGCCCCUCAGUGUCCUGGGAAGCCCCCACCCCUCCUGUCACAUCCCUGCCCGCUGUCCCCCCUCCUUUCCAGCCACCAGCUCCCACAGACCCCCCCAAAUCCUCUCCACCCCCCCAGGGGUGCAGCUUUGUGGCACAAGGGGCGUCCCACAGCGUGAACCCGGGAGCACCGUGGGGAAACUGA